AUUGAACGCUAGCGGGAUGCUUUACACAUGCAAGUCGAACGAGCGGCGGAAGGGUGCGUAAUAUAUGGGAACGUGCCCGGUAGAGGGGGAUCAAUACUAGGAACGGUGGCUAAUAGAGCCUAAUAUCAGAGCGGCCGAUAUCGGAUUAGCUAGUUGGUGGGGUAAAGGCGAACAAAGGCAAAGAUCCGUAGCUGGUUUGAGAGGAUGACCAUCCACACUUGGACGUAGACACGGCCCAGACUCGUACGGGAGGCAGCAGUGGGGAAUGUUGUACAAUGGGGGAAACCCUGAUCCAGCCAUCCCGCGUUUAUGAGAAGGCCCUCGUGUUGUAAAGUACUUUUGGCAGUGAAGCGUUAUCCGCAGAAUAAGCACCGGCUAACUACGUGCCAGCCGCCGCGGUAAUAC
rnacentral:rRNA from 1 species